UAAAAAUGUUUAUCAUCCGUUUUUUCCCCAGUGAGCAUUAAGCAAUAUAUAAUGGUUCAGAUAUUUUUUUGUUAGAAAUAAUGUUUUCCCUCUAUUCGAAUUUAACAUUUUUAAUUAUAUAAGGCAGACGAAUGAGAAAAAAUGGGUAGAAGUACAUUUUGUGAAAAUUUUGUCUUUGGAAUUGUCUGUUUGUUGACAUUUUGUGUAACAGAAAUUUCACCCAGCACUGACACAGAGACGCCAGCAAUUACAGUCAGUAAAAAUGUCAAUCGUAAUUCAGAUCUAACUAUUAUGAAAUUAGGUUCUGGUAAAAGAUGUCCUGGUUUAUAUUGUGGCUAUGUUGGAAAUGGAGAGUGUGGAGCGUGUCCUCGUGGCUAUCAACCUAAUAGUCUAUCUGAAUGUAUAGAAUGUAAUAGUUCCCCAUCAUUCUAUGAUUGUUUAUAUCUAGGGUUUAUGGCUCUCUUAUCUCUAGCUUUACACUGGUUCUUUAUAGACUACAAAACAAGAGGCAAGAGGUCAGUAGUUUUUCUACAUGUCAGUGCUCUGGUAGAAAGUGUCUUAGCAGCUUUGUUGACGUUGAUUUUAUCUGAUCCUAUCGGACCGUUAACCAUUAGAUCGUGUCAAGCUAAUCAUUUAUCAGACUGGUACACGUUACUCUAUAAUCCAAGUCCUAAUUACACGACAACACUUCAUUGUACGCAAGAAAUAGUUUAUCCUUUGUACACGAUGGUCAUGGUAUAUUAUGCCUUCUCCCUGGUUUUCUUAAUGGCAAUCAGACCGAUUGUAUCCUAUAAACUGGUGGAUGGCCGAGGUACCAAGUCAAUUUACGCAGCUCUGUAUUUCUUACCAAUACUUAUAGUUGUUCAUGCAGUAUUUGCUGGUUUAUUAUAUUAUGCGUUUCCAUUUAUUGUAUUAGUUGUAUCUGUGAUAACGAGCGCUAUACAUUUAUCAUGUAUGGAUGAACAGAAUAUGAAGAGUCUGUUCAUCAAUAGUUUUACAAAUGGAAGAAAUGCUACGAUAUUAGUUGGUCACUGGAUUCUUCAUGCUUAUGGCGUGAUAUCGAUAACGAGGCUGGAAGAUCCAUCAUUUCACGCUACAUUGAUCGCACUUGUUCCAUUCCCGGCCAUUUUUUAUAUAUUGACAGUGCGAUUCUCGAAUCCUGACAAUCUGGAAAAAGUCUGAAGAAUCUGUGAUAAUAAAUGUAGACCUGGAAAUAACAAUUUUUGUUCUGCCGGACAAAAUGUCGGGCAUUAAUGAAGUUGGACCUGACAUUUUGAACUAUGUGGCGGACAUGUGUUAAAAAUAUCAGUAAAAAAACUAAAGACAAGACAAAUUUGUGCGGAACGUAAUGAGAUUGUACUAGACAAAGUCUGAAUUUGUGCCCGACAUUAUGUGUGAUGGUUGCCUGUAUUUAAAAACGUUUAAGUUGGUAUUGCAUUGACAGAUUACACAUGUGGCGGAAUGUUAGGAUUGACAGAUUACACAUGUGAUGGAAUGUUAGGAUUUAGACAGAUUACACAUAUGAUGGAAUGAAAGUAUUGAUAGAUUACACAUGUGGUGGAAUGUUAGGAUUGACAGAUUACACAUAUGAUGGAAUGUUAGGAUUUAGACAGAUUACACAUAUGAUGGAAUGAAAGUAUUGAUAGAUUACACAUAUGGAAUGAAAGUAUUGAUAGAUUACACAUGUGGUGGAAUGUUAGGAUUGACAGAUUACACAUGUGGUGGAAUGUUAGGAUUGAUAGAUUACACAUGUGAUGGAAUGUUAAGAUUUAGACAGAUUACACAUGUGAUGGAAUGUUAGGAUUGGCAGAUUACACAUAUGAUAGAAUGUUAGGAUUGAUAGAUUGCACAUGUGAUGGAAUGUUAGGAUUUGAUAGAUUACACAUGUGAUGGUAUGAUAGAUUGCACAAGUGAUAUAAUGUUAGGAUUGACAGAUUACACAUAUGAUGGAAUGUUAGGAUUGACAGAUUACACAUAUGAUGGAAUGUUAGGAUUUAGACAGAUUACCACAUGUAUCAAUAUGUUUUAUAUCAAGUUGUAUAUGUAUUAAGAUGUUUUGUACAGAUUUGUAUGACUGUUAUAUUUGAAUGUGAUAUAAAUUACAAAAGGAUGACAAAU